rnacentral:rRNA from 1 species
UUCGGGGGUAAACGGACAGAGCCCGUGAAUCCGGGCGAUAGAAUUCAGAAUCGAUGGCGAUUUCGGUCGUCGUUGGUUCGAUAUUUCUGUCGCCGCGGACGUCGCGACCCCUUCGGUGUCUUUCGAAGGAGCAUACGUAAGUUCGUUGACACGUGUUGACUUGUCGGCACGUGUUACGAGUGUGUGUUUUCCUGACUGACUUGCCGGACGGUACAAAUGGUGUCUGUGGCGGCUGCAAAGUCGUCCACAGUGCCGGUCAGCGACGAUUCUUCGGGCCUCUUUCCGACCCGUCUUGAAACACGGACCAAGGAGUCUAACAUGCGCGCGAGUCGCGGGGUGUCGAGUGGAGGCGGCAGCAAUGUCGUCGCUGCUCGUUACGAUACGAAACCCGUCAUUAAAAGGCGCAAUGAAAGUGAAUUCCUUUAUUGGAAUGGGGAAGAUGGCGUUACCGAGUACACGUUUCGCAACCAGUUUGCGACCGGUCGCCCGCAUUCCUAGGGCGUUCCAAGGCCCGUCAGCGUUGCGGAUCGUCAUUCCUUCGGGGGUGGCGGUCGGGCGUUGUCGAACCGGAGCGCACCUAUAGCGUGCAUGUUGGUACCCGAAAGAUGGUGAACUAUGCCUGGCCAGGAUGAAGUCAGGGGAAACCCUGAUGGAGGUCCGCAGCGAUUCUGACGUGCAAAUCGAUCGUCUGA